CAGCAGCCACGGUAAAACAGGGGAUGCAAGCGUUAUCCGGAAUGAUUGGGCGUAAAGCGUCUGUAGGUGGCUUUUCAAGUCCGCCGUCAAAUCCCCGGGCUCAACCCUGGACAGGCAGUGGAAACUACCAAGCUGGAGUACGGUAGGGGCAGAGGGAAUUUCCGGUGGAGCGGUGAAAUGCGUAGAGAUGUGGAGGAACACCAGUGGCGAAGGCGACUCUCUGGUCUGUAACUGACGCUGAGGAGCGAAAGCGUGGGGAGCGAACAGGAUUAGAUACCCCAGUAGUCCCUGUCUCUUAUAC
rnacentral:rRNA from 1 species